UACAGAGGUGGCAAGCGUUGUUCGGAUUUAUUGGGCGUAAAGGGUUCGUAGGCGGUUUGAAAAGUCAGAUGUGAAAUCCUACAGCUUAACUGUAGAACUGCAUUUGAAACUUUCAGACUAGAGUAUGAGAGGGGUUAAGGGAAUUCCCGGUGUAAGGGUGAAAUCUGCAGAGAUCGGGAGGAACACCAGUCGCGAAGGCGCUUAACUGGCUCAUUACUGACGCUCAGGAACGAAAGCUAGGGGAGCAAACGGG
rnacentral:rRNA from 1 species